AGAGUUUGAUCCUGGCUCAGAUUGAACGCUGGCGGCAUGCCUUACACAUGCAAGUCGAACGGUAACAGCACUUCGGUGGCUGACGAGUGGCGAACGGGUGAGUAAUACAUCGGAACGUGCCCGAGAGUGGGGGAUAACGCAGCGAAAGCUGUGCUAAUACCGCAUACGAUCUACGGAUGAAAGCAGGGGACCGCAAGGCCUUGCGCUCAUGGAGCGGCCGAUGGCAGAUUAGGUAGUUGGUGGGAUAGAAGCUUACCAAGCCGACGAUCUGUAGCUGGUCUGAGAGGACGACCAGCCACACUGGGACUGAGACACGGCCCAGACUCCUACGGGAGGCAGCAGUGGGGAAUUUUGGACAAUGGGCGAAAGCCUGAUCCAGCCAUGCCGCGUGCAGGAUGAAGGCCUUCGGG
rnacentral:rRNA from 1 species